rnacentral:lncRNA from 1 species
AUGGGUUCUGCAAAGACUUGAGUCUGCUGGAAGCAGUGUCUUGGGGUCGGCAACAGGCCCUUCAGGAGGAUGGCUGGGGAGGGGUUUGGGGACAAUCAAAAGGACUAUAUUUUGCAACUCGCUUAUUUUCCUGAAAUGAAAUUCAUAGGUUGCCUGUCCUGAGAAAACUCAAAGACAAUGGUGCCAAGGAAGAACAGAAUUUCAUAAAUGAAGAAUGACAGAUGGCACUAAGAGUUCAAGUAAGUGGGCUUCAAAUAUUUUAAUACUGCAGCACUGAAUUCUUAGCUCUGACCACAGUGAGUACUGCUUCCCUGGUGUAUCUCUACACACUGGAUGAGAUGAUGAUAAAGCCUAGGGAUUGGGGAGCCACCAGAUGGAAAAAGACAAGAUCUCGGAAUGACUGCAUGGAGGAGAGCUGCCCAGUUGCCCAGGAACUUUUAUGAGAGCAAGAAACCAACUUCUGGUGUGUUAAAAUUCUACCUUUAAAAACUGUUCCAGGCCAGGCACAAUGACUCACGCCUAUAAUGCCAGCACUUUGGGAGACUGAGGUGGGUGGAUCACGAGGCCAAGAGAUCGAGACCACCCUGGCUAACACAGUGAAAUCCCGUCUCUACUAAAAAUACAAAAAAUUAGCUGGGCGUGGUGGCGGGCGCCUGUAGUCCCAGCUACUCAGGAGGCUGAGGCAGGAGAAUUGCUUGAACUGGGAUGCAGAAGUUGCAGUGAGCCAAGAUUGUGUCACUGCACUCCAGCCUGGGCAACAGAGCGAGACUGUCUCAAAAAACAAAACAAAACAAAAACAAAAAACUGUUCCAAUGUAAUAAUUCAGCUGGGACAAAAUAUAUAUUCUGAUACUGAUGCAUCUGAGUUCUUAUCUCAAAUAGCAGAACACCUUGAUUCCUAGACAAUACAGUUUAAGUAAAAUAUGUGUUACUAUUAAGUGCCAGUUAUGGUUCUAAUUAUUUUAAACAUAUUGUCUUAUUUCAGUCUCACAAGAACCUUACAAUGUAGGAUGUUUUUAAUCUUUACUUAAAAGAUGAAUAACUGAAGAAACCAAGGCACAAGGAGGGGAGAUAUUUUGCCUAAGAUCACAUAGCUGUCAAAUGGCCAAGUUUGGAAUUUAGAUUAUUUGGACUCAAAAGUUGUAUUUUCAACUGUGAACUUUCAAUCAUGCACCAGUUGUACAUAAAAUCACAUGGAGUGCUUGUAGCAGACACUCAUCCUGUUCACUGAAAUCUACUGCCUCUUCUUAUUGGAACACCAGCUGGAUGGUAUUUCCCUUCCUCCCUUGUAGGUAGCUGUCACCCUGUGACUGAGAUCUCCUUAACAGAAUGAGAGGAAAAAAGAAAAUUCAUGCUACUUUCAGUCUGGUCCAUUACAAGUUCCCAUAGUGCUCCUCCAUGCUGUUUCCCCUUCUACUUGGUGGAUGCGGAUGACUAUGAAACCCUAGCAUAUGGGAGAGCCACUGAUGGAAAUAGUCUGGGUCACUGAAUGACUGCAUGUGGAGAAGCCUCCUACCAACCUCACCAUGAGCCAUCCUACGAACAAGAAAUUAAUUUCUAUUGUGCUAAUCUACUGACACCUUGGAAUUUGAUUCUUUCUAAAACUUACCUUAACUAAUAAAGAGCUUUUUAAAAAUUCAGUUUCCUGCUGUGAACUCCAGAACUCCUAGAUUAGAAUCUCUGGGAUAAAGACUAUGUAUCUCUACAUAUUUUUUUUUUUUUUGAGAUGGUGUCUCGUGCUGUCGCCCAGGCUGGAGUGCAGUGGCGUGGUCUUGGCUCACUGCAACCUCUGCCUCCUGGGUUCACGCCAUUCUCCUGCCUCAGCCUCCCGAGUAGCUG